rnacentral:lncRNA from 1 species
CUUCCUCCAUCUCUGAAGGCACACCACACUAGAGCUACUCGUCUAGUUCCUCCCAGACAUCAUCACAAUCACAUUCAUCACACUCACCUGCAAUAUGGAUUUAAGAGAGAGGGGUAAGUAAUUUGGGGAAAUUACUCAGUGAGAACCAAGCCAGGCUCCCUUUUCACUCAUUUAUUUUCCACCAACAUAUCAAGAAUAAAUCCAACAAGCAACACACAAGCAUCCUAGCGAUGCACAAACAACUAGCAAGCAAUGAUGUCUCCAACCCUCCUAUCACACAAGGCCACACCUUCCAGUCACACAGACUAGAACAACAUCUCCCAUGUCACACAGACAUAAUACCAUGCAGUCACACAGACACACCUCCAGCCAUACAGGCUCCGGAAAGAUCGGCGUACCUUCC